UGGUAAAUAUGUGCUGUUUGUUAUUGUUUUGUAAAUUUUGCACGUUCAUGAGUAGGUUAUAGGGUUCGUAUUAUUGUAUUUUUUAAAUUUGUCAUUCUUUCGUGGUCCCAUUAUGAUCGAAAUUUAAGCUGAUCUAGGCCUAGUCUAGCCCAGGGAGUUGUUAUAGUGACUAUAACAACUCCCUGUCUAGGCUAAGCCGAGCUGCAUAGGCGUACCGCCGUCUGACUAGGCGGAGGCCUAGGUCUAUAGAUAGGCCUACAUUUUUUUGCUAAACAAUAAGACUUAAGUGUAAUAAAUAGCAAUUUGGUGAGAAGCAGAAAACUGAGGAGGAUAAAUUGCAAGCAGCAGGAUUCGUUGGAAGGCUGUAAACCUGUAAAUAAAGAAAAGGAAAAUUAGUCAGCAUUUCCUCAGAAUGCAACAUUACCCCAUGAUGGCCAUCCCAGAACACCGCCAAAUGGGAACCGGUCUCCACCAGACAGAACCAGAUCACUACACGGAAUGCGAAAUGAGAAUGAGUACAUCCAUAUACAGUUAAAUAAUGAAGGCAGGGGCCUAGGAUGUGGUUUAGUCGGACAAAGAGUAUACAUUUAAAACAGAAGCAGUCUUUAUGUUUUGCUUGGUUAUACUAUGAGAUUAAUAUAAAAAGGUUUGGUAAAACAUUUACAUUUCUUUUAUUUUGGUGUUAUUAUUAGCUGAAAGUACUGUAUAUGUAAUUGCAUCUUCCACAUCAGUGCUGUGGACUGGUUUCUUUAUCUAGUGUAGAAUUGCACUAUUAAGCAAGCAUUUUUUUUGUACCUUGUUUUGAUCGUCAGAGGAGAGUGGAAAAAAAAUGACAAUAAAAUUUUGUUUUCUUAUUUCGCAAAUGGUUUUUGCAAAAAACAUCCACAGGAGAAAAUAAAUUAUAUUUUUUCUGCCCUCCAGACGAUCUAUAAAAAAUAAGUUCACUAAAGCAAGCUAUAAAAAGUCAUGUCUAAGAUAUGCUACUAUUCUUUGUGUCAGGGCACUGCGCAAGACAAACAAACUUUUGAACACAUUUCUAUUAAAGCAUUUGAAAUCUACUCAUGCAUGAUUUUCUUUAAUAUUAAACAUUUGUUCCUGUUGUCAUACUGAACUCUGAUCUUCCAAGUCAUCUGGUGUUCAGUUUAAAUAUUGAAUUAGUGCC